CAAACUUGUACAUCGAUCUGAUACAAUAUGGUUCACAAGGCCAGCGUUGUUUACCUGAUUCCCAUCAUUCUAUUACUAUUGUUCUCAUCCGAAUUAGUCCUUGCCAAUGUUUCUGGAAAUCCAAAGCACAAUGACGGAGAGAAGAUCAUCAGUAGAUCGCAUUUGCAUAUUGUGGCAAAGCAAAUAGAUGUACCAAAACCUACAAAGCCGCCUGGAUCAGGAAAGUAGGGGCCAUUAAACCGGGCGACCGAGCAGUUUGAUUAGAACUGUUUUGGUUGGUUUGGUUUGGUUUUGAUCAAGAAAAAGUCAAACAAUUUAAAAACCAAACGAAAGUGAUUUAUUUUGAUUUGGUUUGGAUUUGAUAAAAUUUGAAAUCGAUCAAAAUCAAACCGAACCGAUCAUAUAUAUUUUAUUUAUCAAUUAUAUUUAUUUUACACAAGUCAAUAUAUUAUAGGUUGUAUGGAUGUCUUACAAUAAACGUUAUAAGUUUCAAUUUAUUAUAAGUUGUAAUGACUUUAACAAUUACAAAAUGUGUUUGUAUUUUAUGCUUUUGUGAGAUUGUAAUUAAUAAAUCCUUCGCCA